rnacentral:lncRNA from 1 species
GUUUGUUGAGCGCUAAUUAUGUGCUGGCUCAGGGAACACACCCAAGAACAAGGAGAGCAGGUCCGUGGCCUCGAGAGCUGACAUCUGGAUCGGAGGAGACGAUCUGUAAACUGUAGAUAAAGAAUUGUGAGAGUUGCAGGUGGCAAUUUGUGCUGUGAAGAAAAUAAAGCAAGUGGGCCACCUGGAAGAGUGACAAAAAACAGACUUCACUGUUCAAGCUGAAAAUGCCCAGUAGAGGUCCAUUAAGAUAGCUAAAUAAAGUGCCUCGAGGGUCCUUCAAACACAGGACAACAAUGAGCACCUGAAGGACAGCAAAUGAACCAAGAGCACAGAUCAUCAGAAACAGAGCCAUUAGGAAGCAAACGCUGUGGGACUUGCUUGCUUUCUGAAGUGGAAUGAAGGGGCCAGUGAGGCACAGGCUGUGAAUUGCCGUUGUUCUGAAAUCAGUGCUGAAAGUUGUGAUCUCGAACAGAACGCUAGGUACUUUCUGUUUUGUUUUUCCCACUGAUCUCCUGGACUGCCAGCCCUCUGCGACCAAUCGCCAUUCCAGAAUGAUGAUCGGCAAGCUGCCUCCUGGAUUCCUCUACUCUGUGCAACCCAGGACCCACCCCAGCUUUCAGGCCGUCGUACUUGCACGUGGGGGAAAAGGGGGUGAGAGGGGAGACUCAGCAUCUUGGCUCCUAUUUGUCUGGGAGGGAAAUCUGACAUUUUUAGUAGACAAUUAAAAUGCUUACUUUGAAGAAAGUAGAGACCCGGUUGCCUGGACACAGUCAGGAAUACAUACCAUUGAAUCUGCGGGUGACCUAUAGUUGCUUUGUCCCUAUUUGAGUAUCCAAAGUGUUAAGGGGAAAAUGAGACAGCUCUAAAAAAUAACUCUUGUGCUUUCUCUGCUGGUCCUCUGGGUGUGCGUGUGUAUGCAUCACACGCCCACACAUAUGCACGUAAUAAAUGGCUUAGUGUAAAAACCCUGCGACACACAUCAAUUCUGUAGAUUACCAGGGAGUCCUAACUAGGGUCGCUAGCAAAGCAACUUCUAUAAAGACUAUAAAUAGUAGGCACGUGCCUCUGUAAGCAGUGCAGCUAUUUAUUUUAUUUAAUAGGAGAUUCUCUUGUUACAAGGACAUCACAGAUUACUGAAUAAUUUAUUUCAUAGUAGAUUAUAUGGGCUUCACUCUUUGCCAGUGAACGCAUACCCAAAUGUCUACAGGAGAUAAGGUGAGCAAAAGUUAGACCUCAGGCUUGGGUGAGCUAUUUAUUUUUUUAUUUGAUUUGUAUUAUCUGUUAUAGUCAUAUAUACAAAUUUUACUUAAUGUUAUCUCAGCUGCAAAGGUCAUAUAUACAAUAGAGGCACCACUUUAUUAUCGACAUUUAGCUAACUCAAAGUAAUGCAUACGAUGACACAGCGCUGAGAAAUAGAGAAUAGAAUAAUAAAUGACCUUGUUAUACACGGUGAUUUUAACACAGGACUGUGAUAAAUAGGGGCAUGUUUGUUCUCUAUGAAAAUAUAGGGAACCAAGAGAGGGCAAAAUUCGAUAAAGAUGUUAGAUUUGGAAAAUGGAGUCAAGAAAAAAGAUUUGAAUGGGUAUUUUUCUGUGACGCUCUAUCAUAAUCUUUUCAAUGAUUUGGAUUUGAAAAACAAUCCCUUCUAAGCUUACAAAGCCUAAACAGUUUGCCUUUACUGUGUACAGGUCUCAGGUGAGCAGAAGCACCUUGGAAGACGGGCACAUUUUUCUUCCAAAUGUAAUUUUGAUAGAGAUAAAAUUUACUUUCAAAGAAAAUUUAAUUUUGACGAUAGAAGGAUGGCAAAAUGCCUGAAGACAGCCACAUAACGUAAGAGGAAAUUCAUGUGGCCACUAACUGUGGUAAGAGGUGCUUCAUUUUAUUAGUAAUCAGGGACAUACAAAUUAAACCCAUAAUGAGAUGUCACUACACAGCUGCCUGACCAGUUAUAAUUCUAGAGUUUGAUGAUAGCAAGUGCUGAUGAGGUUGGAGAAUACUGAGAGCUGCUGCUAGUGGAAGUUGAAAUUGAAGCAAUGAUUUUGGAAAACAGUUGCCGUUAUUUACUGAGGUUGAAGAUUCACGCACACUGUUCACAAUUAAGAAAUGCCACCGUGGGAACACGCCUAGAGGUAGACGUACGUGUCUAUCCCGUGGACGGGAUGUAUACGAGAAUGUUUGUAGAAGCCGCAAGCUGGAAACAACCCAAACGUCUGCUCAACAAAGACAGGAUAAGUAAGAACUAACGCCACUCGCAAUAGCAGAGAUGGACUUCACUAACAUAGUGUUGAGCAAAAGAAACAAGACACAGAUACGCAGAGUAAGGGUCCAUUGAUUGAAAGCUCAUCAACAGGCAAAACUAUAUGGUUUAGGGACACAUAUAGAGAUGGCAAAACUGUAAGGAAGAACAAGGAAAUUACUCUACUAAAAAUCAGGAUAGUGGUUACUUUUAGAGAAAAGGAGAGAUUGUGAACACAAAGAAUACUGAGACUUUUGAGCACUGGAAAUGUUCUAUUUCUUGACCUGGCUGUGGUUUCAUGGGUUUUCACUUUAUAAUUAUUCACUAAACUGGACAUUGGUGUUUAAUGCACUUUUGUGUGUGUGUGUGAUGUUACACACACACACGUGCAUACAAAAUACUUUCUAAUCAUACUGUUAAAUACUAAAAGAUCGAGAUUUUAAAAAGAAACUCCCUGGUUCUUUUUAAAAUAUCUAUAAAAAAUGAACUUUAGGGGCCCGCCCUGUGGCUGAGUGGUUAAGUUUGCGCACUCCGCUUCCGCAGCCCAGGGUUUUGCUGGUUCGGAUCCUGGGUGCGGACAUGGCACCACUCAUCAGGUCAUGGUCAGGCAGCAUCCCACAUGCCACAACUAGAAGGUCCCACAACUAAAAAAUAUACAACUAUGUACUGGGGGGAUUUGGGAGAGAAAAAGCAGGAAAAAAAAAAAAAGAAGAUUGGCAACAGCUGUUAGCUCAGGUGCCAAUCUUUAAAAAAAAAAAUGAACUUUAAGUAUUCAGUUCAGGGGUCAGCCCCAUGGCCUAUUGGUUAACUUUGGCACACUCCACUUUGGCAGCCCAGGUUUGGUUCCCAGGCACCGACCUACACCACUUGUCCAGGGCCACGCUGUGGCAGCAACCCACAUACAAAAUAGGGGAAGAUUGGCACAGAUGUUAGCUUAGGGUGAAUCUUUCUCAAGCAAAAAGAGGAAGAUUGGCAACAGAUGUUAGUUCAGGGCAAAUCUUCCUCAGCCAAAAAAAAAUAAAAGUAUUCAGUUCAGUUGAAUGAACAUUUAAAAUAAUGAGCCAAACCUCAUGCCCAGUUUCAUGUCAGAAUUCUAUAACGUCAUGGUGGAAAGACAGAUGAUAAGAGAGGAAAGGUUACUGGCUUCUAGACCAGAGGCCCCUUUCCAGCCAGCCCUGAUCCUCCGUAGCUGUGUGUCCCUGGGCAAUUCUCUGGCCUCGUUCCUCCUCUGUAAAGAGGAUCGGACCUGAUCAGAAUUCCUCUGAGAGUGCCCUGGUAUAUCCUUGGGAGUUCUCUGUGGGAACUUUAAAGUUUUUUUAAGAAAAAAUUCUUUUCAUUUUGAGCAGAAUCUAAAAAAUAUGAGCAUCAUGUGGGUCCUCCGUGGGUCCUCUUUAGAGCUUACUGUGCCAGCACUCCUCUGUGUUUAUGAUCACAUCGGGGCCCAGAUGUGCUGUUAGGAUUAUCUCAAGCCAGUAAGGAGAAAACACAGGUGACCUUAAUGAGUGAAGUCUGCAUUUGCCAAGCGACCUCAUGGAAGACUCCCGACCAGAGUUUUCACAGGAGUUUGAAAAGACAAUGUCGUGUGAGAUUUGAGUCAUGGGAUAAUGCCCGACCCAGAGAAAUGACCCUAGUGACAAAGUGAGGAGCAAUUUACUCCACAAAAAUCACGUCUCAUUAAAUUAAUAUUAACUUGAGUUUUAUUGGUUUUAUCUCUGGGUUGUCAAAAUCAUGAAUUUGUUUUGAUUUCAUAGUUGUAGAAAAGCUAUAAGCCUGUGGGAUGUAUGCCCAGUUCCAUGUGUGUACAUAUUUAACUAACGAUCUUGUAAAAGUAAUUUACAUCAACACUGGAAACCCUCAAACAUUUUUUUCCCCGAGAAGGCAACAUACUUCAUUAGAGUUUGAGGCACGCGGAACCCCAUGGCUUCCACCGACCCCCCUGUGAUUCUGUUUCCAUUUUGGAAGUCGCACCUUUCCAAAGCAAGUGACAGGGAGGCCCCUGCUGCUGCUGGGAUUCCCGCCCUUUUAUUUGUAGCAGUGAACACCUGUGGGCCAUUUUGCAGGGGCCGGGACAUUGGCAGGACCAGGAGACGUUUCCCAUGGUCACGACUGGAGGUGGGGCAGGAAGAAAACCUUCUCUGCAUCUGUUCCCAGUCAGCCAGGAUAAGGCAGCAGUUUUCUCUUACAACCGACCUUUCCCAGCACCUGUUUCCUUCUGCACAGCAGAAACAGACAAGCAAACAAAAACGAUCCCUCAGGUGUGAGGUCCUGGUCUGCCAUCUACACGUAGUGCCUUUGCUCUGCAGAGACCUGAUGCCUGAUGUGUGUAGCUGGUCUCUGGAGGGAACGUGCCCCGAAGUGAUUCCCAGAGGAGCCGAUAUCUCUUCCAGAAUAAACCACCAGAAACAAUAUUUGAACAGAAAUGUUAAUGCGAGCUUCAAACAGAUUAGAGUGGUUUCCCACAUCUGAGGAGGCUGGAUCCAUUGCUAAGUUGACCUACGGCCCAUGUAGUUGUGUUUGUCUGUGUGCCUGUAAGAGCUGCUGGGGGGCAUCUCUCCCUUGCUCUCUAUCCUCAUGUAAUUCUCAUAUUUGUUCAUAAAGAUCCUGCUGUAUG